ACAAGCGAGGCUAUAUGGAACUACUAACGAAUGCAUUGCAUCCUCAUAUGGACUAUAUAGUCAUAUUAGGUCUUAGGAUGAUUAUGAACCGUUUGAUAUGAUCCAACACGAGCCUUGUGUUGGACCUUGGGUUUAAGGUAGAUAAUUGUUGAUUUUAGUUACGCGUUUAAUCUAAUUAAACCGUUAUUUCCUAUUAGGCGUUGGACCCAACUAUUCCAAUUUGCAUACAUAUAAACAAAAAGGAAUACAUGAAAUAAAGAGAAGGGCUUAUGCCCUUUUACAACACAUUUGAUGGACUUAUGUCCAUUUUCAACAAAUUUGAACUAAUCAAAUUACAUUCAAAUCUAAACUACUUAACCCAAACAUUCACAAUGUAAAGCAGCCAAUCACAUAGCUCAAUUAUCGAGGCCUUUGGUUCAUAAUCACCC
rnacentral:lncRNA from 1 species